rnacentral:RNase_P_RNA from 1 species
AAUUGGCUUGUCGCUUUUGUUCAUUUAGUUCAAAAGAGGAAAGUCCGGGCAGCACAGAGCACCAUACUUCCUAACGGGAAGGAUGCAUUCAUUUGUAGACAGAUAGUGCCACAGAAAUAGGUAGCCUUGAUGUAACCAUCAGGGUCAUAGUGAAAAGGCGAGGUAAGAGCUCACCGUCCUAGAUAGUGAUAUCAGGAGCUAGGUAAACCUUAUGGGCUGAAAGAUCAUGUAAACUGAGGUUUGAGGGCUGCUCGCCCAACUCAGAGGGUAGAUCGAUUGAUUCCGUUCGCGAGGUCGGAACUAGAUAAAUGACAAGCUUCCAUCUUUUGGUGGAAACAGAACCCGGCUUAUAGAUUUGCUUUU